UUNUGAACUGGGUGACUAGAGUGUNUCAGAGGGAGGUAGAAUUCCACGUGUAGCAGUGAAAUGCGUAGAGAUGUGGAGGAAUACCGAUGGCGAAGGCAGCCUCCUGGGAUAACACUGACGUUCAUGCCCGAAAGCGUGGGUAGCAAACAGGAUUAGAUACCCUGGUAGUCCACGCCCUAAACGAUGUCGAUUAGCUGUUGGGCAGCAUGACUGCUUAGUAGCGAAGCUAACGCGUGAAAUCGACCGCCUGGGGAGUACGGUCGCAAGAUUAAAACUCAAAGGAAUUGACGGGGACCCGCACAAGCGGUGGAUGAUGUGGAUUAAUUCGAUGCAACGCGAAGAACCUUACCUGGUCUUGACAUGUACGGAACCCUCCAGAGACGGAGGGGUGCCUUCGGGAGCCGUAACACAGGUGCUGCAUGGCUGUCGUCAGCUCGUGUCGUGAGAUGUUGGGUUAAGUCCCGCAACGAGCGCAACCCUUGUCAUUAGUUGCCAUCAUUAAGUUGGGCACUCUAAUGAGACUGCCGGUGACAAGCCGGAGGAAGGUGGGGAUGACGUCAAGUCCUCAUGGCCCUUAUGACCAGGGCUUCACACGUCAUACAAUGGUCGGUACAGAGGGUAGCCAAGCCGCGAGGUGGAGCCAAUCUCACAAAACCGAUCGUAGUCCGGAUUGCACUCUGCAACUCGAGUGCAUGAAGUCGGAAUCGCUAGUAAUCGCAGGUCAGCAUACUGCGGUGAAUACGUUCCCGGGUCUUGUACACACCGCCCGUCACACCAUGGGAGUGGGGGAUACCAGAAGUAGGUAGGGUAACCGC
rnacentral:rRNA from 1 species